rnacentral:rRNA from 1 species
AUUGAACGCUGGCGGCAUGCCUUACACAUGCAAGUCGAACGGUAACGGGCCUUCGGGUGCCGACAAGUGGCGAACGGGUGAGUAAUGCAUCGGAACGUACCCAUCAGUGGGGGAUAACUCUCCGAAAGGAGGGCUAAUACCGCAUAUUCUGUGCGCAGGAAAGCGGGGGACCGCAAGGCCUCGCGAUGGUGGAGCGGCAGAUGUCAGAUUAGCGAGUUGGUGGGGUAAAAGCCUACCAAGGCGACGAUCUGUAGCGGGUAUGAGAGGAUGAUCGGCCACACUGGGAAUGAGACACGGCCCAGACUCCUACGGGAGGCAGCAGUGGGGAAUUUUGGACAAUGGGGGCAACCCUGAUCCAGCCAUGCCGCGUGAGUGAAGAAGGCCUUCGGGUUGUAAAGCUCUUUCGGCCGGGAAGAAAUCGCAUCUCCUAAUACGAGGUGUGGAUGACGGUACCGGAAUAAGAAGCACCGGCUAACUACGUGCCAGCAGCCGCGGUAAGAC